rnacentral:lncRNA from 1 species
UAGAGUACAGUGCUGACAGUGGUCAUGGAAAAAUGUGUUUCUAUAGAGUAAGAUAGUAUUGGGCAUGUGAAUGUGUGUUUCUGUAGAGUGCAGUGGUGGCAAUAGGAAAGUGACUGUGUGUGUCUGUAGAGUGGAGGAUUGUAGACAGCAUGUGAAUGUGUGUUUCUCCAGAGUGCAGGAUAGCAGUGGACAUGUGAAUUU